UGUCUUUUUGUAAAUAAUGUAAAGUCUAAUCUGCCCACUGAUUUGAUAAUUAAAGGGCUGCAGUAUAUUGACUGUACAAAGGUAGCAUAAUCAUUAGUCAUUUAAUUGAUGACUUGUAUGAAGGAUUGGAUGAGAUAUAAACUGUCUCUUGAUUAAGUAUAGAAUUUAAUUUUUUAAUUAAAAAGUUAAAAUAAUUUAAAAAGACGAGAAGACCCUAUAGAGUUUUAUAAAUAAAUUAAUUAAGAUUAUUUAUUAAAUUAAAAUUAAAAUUUAAAUGUUUAUUAUAUUGGGGUGAUAGAAAAAUAUAGUUAACUUUUUUUAUAAAAAUAACAUAUAUAAGUGAUUAAAUGAUCCAAUAUUAUUGAUUAUAAGAAAAAAUUACCUUAGGGAUAACAGCGUAAUUUUUUUUUUUAGUUCAUAUAAGAAAAAGAGUUUGCGUCCUCGAUGUUGGAUUAAGAUAAAAUUUAAAUGCAGAAG
rnacentral:rRNA from 1 species